rnacentral:rRNA from 1 species
CUUGCGCAAUGGGCGAAAGCCUGACGCAGCAACGCCGCGUGCGGGAAGAAGGCCUUCGGGUUGUAAACCGCUUUCAGCAGGAACGAAAAUGACGGUACCUGCAGAAGAAGGUGCGGCCAACUACGUGCCAGCAGCCGCGGUGACACGUAGGCACCAAGCGUUGUCCGGAUUUAUUGGGCGUAAAGAGCUCGUAGGCGGUUCAGUAAGUCGGGUGUGAAAACUCUGGGCUUAACCCAGAGCCGCCACCCGAUACUGCUGUGACUAGAGUCCGGUAGGGGAGUGGGGAAUUCCUAGUGUAGCGGUGAAAUGCGCAGAUAUUAGGAGGAACACCGGUGGCGAAGGCGCCACUCUGGGCCGGAACUGACGCUGAGGAGCGAAAGCGUGGGUAGCAAACAGGAUUAGAUACCCUGGUAGUCCACGCCGUAAACGUUGGGCACUAGGUGUGGGCCUCAACCAACGAGGUCCGUGCCGUCGCUAACGCAUUAAGUGCCCCGCCUGGGGAGUACGGCCGCAAGGCUA